AAGACUGGGAUAACUCCGGGAAACCGGAGCUAAUACCGGAUAGUUCCUUGAACCGCAUGGUUCAAGGAUGAAAGACGGUUUCGGCUGUCACUUACAGAUGGACCCGCGGCGCAUUAGCUAGUUGGUGAGGUAACGGCUCACCAAGGCGACGAUGCGUAGCCGACCUGAGAGGGUGAUCGGCCACACUGGGACUGAGACACGGCCCAGACUCCUACGGGAGGCAGCAGUAGGGAAUCUUCCGCAAUGGACGAAAGUCUGACGGAGCAACGCCGCGUGAGUGAUGAAGGUUUUCGGAUCGUAAAGCUCUGUUGUUAGGGAAGAACAAGUGCAAGAGUAACUGCUUGCACCUUGACGGUACCUAACCAGAAAGCCACGGCUAACUACGUGCCAGCAGCCGCGGUAAUACGUAGGUGGCAAGCGUUGUCCGGAAUUAUUGGGCGUAAAGGGCUCGCAGGCGGUUUCUUAAGUCUGAUGUGAAAGCCCCCGGCUCAACCGGGGAGGGUCAUUGGAAACUGGGAAACUUGAGUGCAGAAGAGGAGAGUGGAAUUCCACGUGUAGCGGUGAAAUGCGUAGAGAUGUGGAGGAACACCAGUGGCGAAGGCGACUCUCUGGUCUGUAACUGACGCUGAGGAGCGAAAGCGUGGGGAGCGAACAGGA
rnacentral:rRNA from 1 species